CCUAGGAAGCUUGUAAAAAUGUAACUCUUUGGGUAAAUCCCAAAUCUCCUGGACUGGAGUCCAGGGAAUACUCGGCAACCUGCAUUUUAAACAAACUUACCAGGGAAAGUCUUGUGAACUUGGACUUGAGCAGGAGUGAGGUGAGGCGACGUAGGCAGCAGGAAGAGGAUUAUUUCCUCCAAGACCUUUACUCCUAAGGGACACCUUUUCAACAGUUUUUAGAGGUAAUGUGAUGAAACGGCACUUUAACACUGAGUAACAAUGACUGUGGUUACUAUAGGAAGACCGGAGCAGAAGCUGAAUGAGUGCAAGACCUGAGGCCAGGAGGAGGGAGUCCAGAUGAUGCCUGUUCCGGUUCUCUGCUUUCUGCCUUCUCCGGCUGCAGGCCCUGCCCUCUGGCCGGCCCCGCUCCCAGGCCAGCUGCUUCUGAUCAGUUUCUAAUUCACAUUGUCUCUGGAAGACAAGGCGGCAAGGGAUGUCCUUGAGGAUUGAUGACAACUGUGAGCAUGGAGCAACAACAGCUCCUGGGAGAUAAAAUUGGUUCACAAACGUCAAACGGGAGGAUCCUUAUAAGUGAUUUACCUACAGGAGAUGGUCAUCUUCAGAUGCCCUCAAAUGGUGCUUAUCUCCAAGGAUAUUCAUACCCUUGGGAAGCCCUCUCCUCUAAUGAGUAGGGCUGACCUGCUUUACAGUAGAAUAUCACAGAAAUGACAGCAUGUGACUUCUUGGAUGGGGCCAUCUUAGACACGACUCUGCCUCUUGCUUCACUCAUUCUGGGAGAAGGUGGCUGCCAUGUUAUGAGAACACUCAAGUGGCCUUAAGGGAGUUCAUUGGAGCCAGGAACGGAAACCUGCUGCUAAUUUGCGAGCCACGUGCAUGAGGCACCUUGGAACAAAUCCUCCAACUCCAAACCUUCGGAUGACUGCAGCCCGAGGUGACAUCCUGACUCUAACCUCGGGAGCAAUUCCACACCGCAGACCCCAAGUUCAGCCACUUCCUGUUUCCUGACCUACAGAAACUGUGCAGCUACUCAGUAUGGGAACAAUCUGUUAUGCAACAAUAAUCAACCCUUCAGCUUUGCAGCCGUCUCGAAAGGCUUAGGGACCCGCAUGGCUUUGGGAAGAGCAAUUCAUUCUAAGCCAAUUUAAUUUCCUUCCAUGAUGAAGUGGCCUGGCACAUGGAUAAGAGAGAAAUAAGUGUGUCUCCCUGCCCCAGGAGGGCUUUUAAUCUGAUACCACUUGCCAUUCUCAUCAACAUGCGAGAGGCGGGGCCUGAAAAGUGGUUCAUUGAUUUGGCCCUGGGAGAACUGAUGUGGGAGCUAAUCUAGCACCUGCUGGAGGGAAAGAGUAUGGAUACUGCUACGGUCUGAAAGUGACCCCUAAAGUUCAUGUGCUGGAAACUUAACCCCCAAUGCAACCAUGCUGGGGGGUUUUGAAAAGUUCUUAGGUCAAGAAAACUCUGUUAUGAAUGCCAUUAUAAAAGGGCAUUGUGGAGGGGGUGUGGCCCUUCUUUACCUUUCUGUUGCCUCUGCCUAGUGAAAGUCCAGAAUUCAGGGUGCCAUCUUGGAAGCAGAGACCAAGUCCUUACCAGCACCUUGAUGUCAGACUUUCCAGACUUGAGAAGUAUGAGAGAUACAUUGCUAUUGCUUCUAUAAACUAUUCAAUUUGUGGUAUGUUGUUACAGCUGCACAAAUGGACUACACAGACACCAACAGCAAUCUGAAUACUAACACUGAACUCUUUGCUAAGACUCUUAUUAACAUUGCUGAUAUCCCUCAUCUUAACACCUCCCCCUGGGGAAGCCCAAGUUCUACCAAGUUCACUAACCAUCUUGUCCUUUAACAAGCAGAGAAAAUGGUGUUGGCUCCUACUACAGCGCAUUGACACAUGUUCUUCAAAAACUCCACAGGUUUCCGGAAACGCACACCUUCUUGUGGCCAGCAGGAGCUACAACCUUGGUGACUACUGUCAUCAGCCCUCAGCCAUCAUCCUGUCCUCCUGAGGAUGCUGUCUCCUCCCCUUCUCUGCUAUCCUGACCAUCUCAUAUUCUCCAUGUGCCAAAGCACAUGAGCAUGAGGUGUGUUCCUGAGAGAUUCUGUGGAUGAGGGGAGGACUAUCAAAAUCCUGCAGAGCAGAUAAAUUAAAACAAAACGUAGCAUCCUGG
ensembl:lincRNA